rnacentral:rRNA from 1 species
GACAGAGGGUGCUAGCGUUGUUCGGAAUUACUGGGCGUAAAGGGCGCGUAGGCGGCCCGUUUAGUCGGGUGUGAAAUCCCGGGGCUCAACCCCGGAAUGGCAUUCGAUACUGGCGGGCUAGAGACCGGAAGAGGUGGGUGGUAUACCCAGUGUAGAGGUGAAAUUCGUAGAUAUUGGGUGGAACACCGGUGGCGAAGGCGGCUCACUGGUCCGGUUCUGACGCUGAGGCGCGAAAGCGUGGGGAGCAAACAGG